CAGACAGAAAGCAAAAAAGACCAGUGUGUUGCUGAGAGAUUCUGAAAAGAGAGCGCGUUUCUCUGUGGAAAGAUAUCGGGUAUUGUCCCAUUCUGUGGACGUGAGUAAUAGCUGCUCAGACAGAUAUUGAGUAGGAUGAAACAGGAAGGGUCCCCAGCUAUACACAUGACAGCCAAGAGGUGACAGCCAACAUGUGACACUUUCCAACAUUGGGAUAAUCCAUCACUCUCCUCUGAAAGCUCAGCAGGGAUUCUCAGAGACAACAUCUGUUAUGUUAAAGGCUCUCAAGCUCCCCUAAUUACUCGACAGGAGAUCCACCAGUACCACCCGACAUCAGCCCCUUGGUAGAACGAGAGUAUUGUGUGCAGAUAUGACUGCAAAAGACAUGCCAUGCUGUGAGUGACUGACAGAUUUCACCUGCUCUAAUUGGCUGAUUCCAACAUGUGUAAGCAAUUCGACAAACAGCAUGGUUGGGUGGUUUGUACUAGGGAAAAAGUGUUAGCUUUGAAAAAGCACACUUAUAAAUAAUGUUUGUCUUAAAUGCUAUAAGAAAAAAAAAUAAUGAAAGCAACUUGUGAAAAAAGAAUCAUUAAGCUUCCGCUAUAGUUUAUAUCAAUGGCAGUUCCUCUGUAGGACCUAAAAUAGAAUUCCAGCAACAUAUGUUUUGUCUCUGUGAUUAUUUGUAUCUUACUCAUUCAUUAAAGCAAUA